rnacentral:lncRNA from 1 species
CCGCGCUGGCCACGGAGGGUGACGCAGAACUGCUCAUCUCCAGGGAAAGGCGACAUCCCGAGAGCCCUCCAGAGCAGAUCUGAGCUCUGCUGGGCGGGGAAGCGGAGACUGAUUCGCCGCGGUCGCGGGCCCAGCGGCUGGGAGGUCCCGCGCUGGCCGAGCAAAUGAGGAGGGCGCAGGGCACGGGGGCGGUGCGCGCCCAGGACAGUUUCCCGUCGGCUUCUCCCGGACUGUCCUACCACUUCCAUCUCGGAGCGGGAUGCUCGGAUCCCCGCAAGGCCUCCUGCGGACGUGGGAGAGUUGCUGAGACAGGUGAGAGUUGAUGAGGCUCAGCGUCUCCAGAUAAAAGAAGGGACAGAGCUGUCGGUGCGGUGAGGUUUGAAAAGUUGCGGCGGCCCCGGCAGCUGCAGGGGGCGAGCGCGGAGCAAAGCCCGGGCCGCACCAGACGGGCCCUGAGUCUCCAGGGCUCCUCGUCCCCAUGCGCCAGCGUGUCUGAUGCUUCACUGGACCCGGGUCUCUUUCUCAAUGUCAUCUCACAGCCUCUGUCCCUUGGGUAGGGAAUCAGGCUUCUGAGCUAUCAUCUGCUUAGUACCGUCGUCCUCUGCUUUGGAAAAUAUUUGAAUUGUGGUCUGAUAGAAGACAUGAAAAAGUUAGAAUACUACUAGAUUCCAAAGGGAAAAAAAAAGUUUCUUCGUUUACAAGUAGCAUCUACUGAUGGGAAUUUCUUAAUUGUUAUCAUUUAAGAAAAUACAGAACCAGGUUUGGAUCCAUGAAAACGAAUUGGUCUUCAGCCUUUCAAACACUGGCCAAAAAAAUUUGCAAAAGAAAAACACAGGCAUCAGGUAGCAGGCACAGUAUUAAAAAUUCAGACAGUUUUACUGUCGGAUCUUAAAAUAUAUUAGAAGUGUGUGACUUUCAUAAAGGACGAGAGAGAAUCAACUUCAUGCUAUUUCGAUAGGUAUUUUCUAGAUAUGCCAGAUAAUUUUGUCUUAUUAUCUCACAGAUUACUUGUUUCAGCCAUACACCAUGGGGAAAAAAAUGGCAAGGGGUUUGAAUGAUCGUUUCCAGAGCAGUUUUUCGUAGCUACAGUAGUACUUCCAUUUUACAAAUUCUCUGUGUUAGUCAUUCACUCAUAUAUUUCAUUCACCAAACAUUUAUUAAGGCUCUUCUAUGUGCUGUGUACAGUGCUAGACUUGGGAGAAGAGGGAUAAGUGGUGAGAGGGACAUACAAAAUUGAAUUAGAAAAAUUCACAGUUUAGGCAACUGGAAAUGCUAGGAAGCAGUUGUAAACCACUAUGAUACAUUCUUGUCGUGAGACGCCACCAGGGCAGCCCCUGCUAAUGGCCGGGAGAGGUACACUGACCACAGCUGAGUUUCGGGGUUCAUCUGCGUGGUGGCCUUUGCUCUUUCAAGGCAGCCACUAUUGGUUCCAUUUACAACAGGAGGAGACCAACACUAAAAGUGCAGUGAUGAGCCUCAUGUCUCACAGUUAGUCAGGCUCCUAAUCCAAAAGCCACUGCUAUGACCUGCGCUUCCGGACAUUCUGCCAUUUGAUCCCUACAACCUCACUACCUGAAGGACUAUAUUUUGAUCAUUCUUAAUGGGCCAGCUUCAAACCCCGUCAAGUUUUGAAGAGGGCAGAUGAAGCUGAUGACAGCUCCAGUUCCAGCUAUGGGUGACCUGUCUGUCUGCCUUUUUUGAGCUGUGGAGUGAUCAGAGUCAUAUUCGCUGCCUGUGCAGUACCACAGGCCUGAUGAAAAUGAAAUGGCAACACCACACAGAUGGCGAAGCGUAGGUCUCACAAGCGUCCUGGCCACGAAGACCUAGAUGCCUGCAGUUUCCUCGGAUUGAAAACAUGGAGGGAUCUCCUGGUGCAGUGAGUCCAGCAUAUCCAGAGUGAAGCACAGUCACUGGUCAUUUUACACUACAUGGAAAAUCUCAACAAGUUUCAAAUUUUGAUAUUUUGGGUAUCUCUCCACUCUCCUCCGCAUCCAGUACAUCACCGCCAUGGGCUGAAUGUUUGUGUCCCGGCAAAUUUCUGUGUUGAAAUCUAAGCCCCAAGAUGAUGGUAUCAGAGAUGAGGGCUUUGGCAGGUGGUUAAGCCGUGAAGACAGAGGCCUGAUGAAAGGGGUUGGUGCCUUUAGAAAAGAGGCCUCAGAUAGCUGUCCCGUCCCUUCUACCAUGUGGGAAUGAAGAGAGACAGUAUCACCUGUGAACCAGAAGGUGGCGCUCACCAGACAUUGAAUCUGCUGAUGCAGUGUUCUCGGAUGUGAACCAGAAAAUCUGAGACGGGUCUUAGUUAAUUUGGAAAGUUUAUUUUGCCAAGGUUGAGGACGUGCUUGUGACACAGCCUCAGGAAAUCCUGAUGACAUGUGCCCAAGGUGGUCAGGGCACAGCUUGGUUUUAUACAUUUAGGGAGACAUGAGGCAUCAAUUAAUAUAUGUAAGAAACACUGGUUCGGUCUGGAAAGGCGGGAAAACUUGAAGCAAAGGCAGGAAGGCUGGAAGCAGGGAGGGAGCUUCCAGGCCACAGAUAGGUGAUACACAAAUGGUUACAUCCUUUUGAAUUUCUCAUUAGCCUUUCCAAAGGUGGCAAAUCAGAUAUGCAUCUAUCUCAGUGAGUAGAGGAAUGGCUUUGAAUAGAAUGGGAGGCAGGUUUGCCCUAAGCAGUUCCCGGCUUGAGUUUUCCUUAGUGAUUUUGGAGUCCCAAGAUAUUUUCCUUUCACAUGGACUUCCCAGCCUUUAGAACUGUCAGAGAUAAAUGUCUGUUGUUUAUAAGCCACCCAGUUUAUGGCAUUUUGUUAUAGCAGCCCAAACCAAAUAAGAAGACCGCCAGCCAGUUCUACCUAAACAGUCCCUCCAUGUGUCCACCAUCCUGAGUCCCCAUUACCACGCCUUGUCCAGACCCCAGCAUUUCUGUGACUUGAUGCAAUAUAAGUUUACUGCCUAAAUAACAGGUACAGGACUUUGUGUGGACAAAUGUGCUCUUUUCUCCUGGGGUAAUAUCUACGUACAAAUGACUGGGUCACGUGGUAGGUAUUUUUAACUUUUUAAAAAACUACCAAACUGUUUUCCAUAGUCUUUGCACCAUUUCACUUUCCCACCAGCAAUGAAUGAGUGUUCCAGUAACUCUGCAUUCUCAACAGCACUUGUUAUCAUCAGCACUUGUUAUCAUCACCUUAAAGAGUUUCAGCCAUUCUAAAGGUGUGUAGUGGUUUUCUCCCCACCUUUUAAUUUUCUUAAUAGUGCCCUUCAAAAAACAGAAGUUUUUAAUUUUGAUGAAAUCUAGUUUACCAAUUGUUUUCUUUUAUGGAUUGUGCUUUUUGUUGUUACAUGUAUGAAAUCUUUGCCUAACCCGAGAGUGCAAUAUUUUUUUUCCAUGUGUUCUUACAGAAGUCUUAUAUAUCUAUGUUUUACAUUUAGGUCUACGAUCAAUUUCAGUUAAUUUUCAUAUAGGGCCUAAGAUAUGGAUUCAGGUUCAUUUUCUGGCACAUGAACAUCCAUCUGUUCCAGCACCAUUUGGUGAAAAAAUGAUACUUUUCCAUUGAAUUACUUUUGCAUUUUUAUUGAAAAUAAGACAAAAUUCCAAAUACCAUAAUCCUGAAUGCUAAAAUCCCAAAAGAUCAAAGAUCCUAAAGUAUAAAUCCCUAAAGUCUAAAAUUCUGAAAAUCACAAUCACAGGAUAGGGUUUUUUUUCCUUUUCUUCUAUUUUUUUCACUAUUUUAAAUAGCAAAACAAUUCACUAUGCUAUAUAUUUCAUCGUUGCAUCAUUUCCAAAACUUGACGUAUAGGUUGUGCAGAGACGUUUAGAGAGUCCUAAUUUGUUUCAUGCAUUUUUUUGCAAAUGUGACUCCAUGAAAGUUCAUUAUCUCAAUGUUGAUUUUGUGUAUAAACAUUGUGUAUGUACAUGAAAACAUUGAAACCUCCUCAGUGAUGUCCUUUUUGUACACCUGCAUUUGUAAAAGACAACAUUUUUUGAGAUCUCAGCUCUUUGGGUGACUGCAUAUGUAGUGGUAAUCCAUUGUGGUUUUUGAUCAAUCUUGUCAAAAGACUUCGGUUUUUUAUCACAGUAUUUCAGAUGAGCACAUAUACAAAGCUGGUUGCACACAAUUACCAAUCAUAGUGAUAUGUGUUUACACAUUUUCCUUUUGACCUACUUCUUUAGGAAUACAGUUUAUCUGCUCAUAAAUGCUAUAUCUGUGCCAGGUAUAGUCGUAUACCUGAGUAUUUAUUCUUGCAAAAACAUGUACGCUAGUAUUGCUUCUUUUAUUGUGUAAAGCGGCCUAUGAAGUGUUCUGUUGUGUUUUUAUAUGUUUCUCAAAUAAAUCCCCCCCUCCCUUUUUUUUUGAGAUGCAGUCUCAUGUUGUUGCCAAGGCUGGAAUGUAGUGGUGUGAUUUGGGCUCACUGCAAACUCCGCCUCCCGGAUUCAAGCGAUUAUCCUGCCUCAGCCUCCCGAAUAGCUGGGAUUACAGGCAUGCACCACCAGGCCGGGCUAAUUUUUGUAUUUUUAGUAAAGAUGGAGUUUCACCAUGUUGGCCAGGCUGGUCUUGAACUCCUGACCUCAGGUGAUCCACCUGCCUCAGCCUCCCAAAGUGCUGGGAUUACAGGAGUGAGCCACUGUGCCCACACCCACUCCCCUUAAAAUGUAAGUAAAUAUCUUCAGGAAUUUUUAAAAUUAUUUUUUCCAGAAUUAUAUUUUCAGGAUUUUGGAUUUUAGGGAUUUUUGAUCUUUCAGAAUUUUAAGAGCUGGGAUUGUGUCUUUCAAGACUGCUUCUUCAGGGACUAUGACGGGCUUCCCUCUAGACAGCAUGGGCUAGGAAGCAUGUUCUGGAAUGUGACAUUUAAGCUGAGAACUGAAUUGUACAAAAAACCUAGCCACGCCAAUUACCCUAAGUGAAUUAAUGCAAAAAUAGAAAUCCAAAUACCACAUGUUUUCACUUAUAAGUGGGAGGCAAGCAUUGGGUGCACAGGGACAUAAAGAUGGGAAAAUAGACACUGGGGAUUCCAAAAGGCAGGAGGAAGGGAGAGGGUUGAAAACUUACCUAUUGGGCACUGUGUUCACUAUCUGGGUGAUGGGAUCAGUUGAAGCCCAAACCUCACUGUCAUGCAAUAAAUCCUUGUAACAAACCACUCACGUAGCUCCUGAAUCCAAAAGAAAAAAAAAACCAAAAAACAAUAUUAACUUUUACCCGAAAACCACCUAGCCACAGAAACCAGGGGGCAGUGGUGGAGAGGAGGCCCCAGGAGGAUUCUAGGUGAGGUGGCUGGACAUGCAGAAGCCCUGCUGGGGAAGGAAGAGGUUUUGUGUUUAGGAAGUGAAAGCCCAGGUAGCUGAGCUGUGGCGAGCCGGGAAGAAUGAAGGGAUGAGACAGCAGAGACACAGGCUUCGGUUCUGGGGGUCCUGCUGCUGCCCCACCUCCUCAAUGGUCCUCCUGGCCCCUCUCUGCUAAGCAGGAAGCAAUGGCAUCUUUUUUUUUUUUUCUUUUUUUGAGACGGAGUCUGGCUCUGUCGCCCAGGCUGGAAUGCAGUGGCGCAAUCUCGGCUCACUGCAAGCUCCGCCUCCUGGGUUCACACCAUUCUCCUGCCUCAGCCUCCCGAGUAGCUGGGACUACAGGCGCCCGCCACCACGCCCGGCUAAUUUUUUGUAUUUUUAGUAGAGACGGGGUUUCACCGUGUUGGCCAGGAUGGUCUCGAUCUCCUGACCUCGUGAUCCGCCUGCCUUGGCUUCCCAAAGUGCUGCGAUUACAGGCAUGAGCCACCGCGCCCGGCCACAAUGGCAUCUUUUACCCAUGAAGUUGUCGGCACAGUUGGGAAAUAGCAGGCAGUUCCAGCGGAGUUUCUCAAGGCUUGGAUUUGGCUAGGAAGUUAGGCGGUAGUGGGGACAGACUCAGAGGUUUUAGGAAUGACCACCCUGUUUCCAGUAUGUAGGAAAAUGACUUCUUGAGACAGAAAACUCUGAAAUUCUUUUUUUUUUUUUUUUUUCAGAUGGAGUUUCGCUCUUGUCACCCAGGCUGGAGUGCAAUGGUGUGAUCUCGGCUCACUGCAUCCUCCGUCUGCUGGGUUCAAGCGAUUCUCCUGCCUCAGCCUCUCAAGUAGCUGGAAUUACAGGUGCCCGCCACCAUGCCCAGCUAAUUUUUGUAUUUUUAGUAGAGACGGGGUUUCGCCACGUUGGCCAGGCUAGUCUCGAACUCCUGGCCUCAGGUGAUCCACCCACCUCAGCCUCCCAAAGUGCUGGGAUUACAGGCAUGAGCCACCACACCCGGCUGAAAUUCUUUUUGUUUUAUUUUUGUCAAACUUGGUGGCAGAGUGUGCAAAAGAACAGAAUGAGGUUUUGGAAAUGUUGGAUUUGUAGUAUUUUUGUGAUGUCCGGUUGAAGAUGUGAGGCAGCCAGUUACAAUUGUGGAUCUGCAGCCUGUGGGAGAGCCCUGGGUUAUUGGUGUGAAUUCAGGACUUGGUGGUGGGUUCCUUUCCUGUGGUUGCUGUAACAAAGGACCACAGCACAGCGGCUUGAGCAACAGAUGCCUUCUCCUUCAUGGCUCCGGAGGCAGAAAGCCUGCGGGCGAGGUGUCAUCAGGCUUCUCCUAGGGCUGUGAGGGGCCUGCUCCAGGCCUCCAUCCUCACUUCCGGCAGCCUUGGGCACUCCUGGGCUUCUAGGUGGCCACCUUCUCCCUGGGUCAUUAUGUCGUCUUCCUCUGUGUGGUUCUGCCUCUGCAUCCAAAUUUCCCUGCUCUGUAAGGACCCUGGAUUAUGCCCCACCCCAAUCACCUAAAGCUUACCUGCAUCCUCUGCAGAUACCUUUUUUCUAAAUGGGCCACAUGGAUAGGUACUGCGGGCUAGGACUUCAAUGUCUUUUGGGGGACACAAUUCUACCUCUAGCAGAUGGUGAUGCAGCUGUAAGCCUGGGUGACAUCACCUGGAGAGAGUUAGGGGUAAGAGCAGAAGAGGCCACGUGCCCAGCCUGGAAGAACUGUGUGAGUUCAUAAUAACAGUGGCCAAGGAGGGGAGAGAGGAGAGAGGCGAGGGGAGCAGGCAACAGGGAAACACAGAGGCGGCAGCCCAGAGCUCGGAGGAGGAGAGGCUGUGAAGGAGGGUGAGGUAUAGUCUCAAAUGCUGCUGAAAGGUUAAGUAUGUUGCAGUAAUUUGAAGGCUAAAACAUGCCAUUGGAUUUCAUAGUCAGGCAUCACCUGUGCCCUGUGCCUGAACUGCUGUGGUGUAGAUGAGCCUGGCUGAGGAAGCAGCCAGCCAGAGGGGAAGGAGUGGAGCCAGGCUCCGGGCCUGCUUAAGGGUUGGAAGAGGGUAGACCAGCUGCCAGAAGGCGCAUGGGCUCGGGCAGGGAGAGGCUUUUAAAAACGGGAGGGAUCUUAGAAGAAAGAGGAUCCAGUGGGUUGGAGAAAGUAAAGGGGUCAGCACGGCAGGUCCGGGAGUUGAAGGAGCAGCGGUGAGGGCUGACUGAGCAAGCGAUCUGCGAUCUGCUGGGAGAGGCUCCGGCGCUGAUCCCAUAGAUUCGCAGCGAUUUCGGAAGAUGAGUCCGGGGUGUGGCUGUGGGAAGGAUGGUCAGACAUAUUUUUCCUCUAUUGUAUUAAUGUCUUAUGUGAAGAUGGAGUAACCUCUUGGCUACCUAAUAUAUAUAUACAUAUAUAUAUAUAUAUAUAUCUAUCACAUCUUCUCACACAUUUAAUUGUAAAAAUGCUCCUACUUAAUCCUAAUCCAGCCACCUUCUGUGCAAUUCCAAAUGUGCUCACCUUCUCCCCAGUGGGUAACAAUCCAAAAUCACAUACAGGUUCUGUACUGUGAAGUGACACAAUUUAGCCCCUCUGAGUUCAGGUUUUCUAGGUAGUGUCAAUUCCUCCAUUAGCUUGGAUUUGAUCAGGUUUGUGACUUCUCACCAUUCUGCAGAUUAUGGCAUAAAUGAUAAAAGUAGCUUCUCCUGCCUACCCGAUACAGUGAAAUGGAAUAAAAAUCAAACCAAAAACGGGGAAAGAAGUGCCUACAUUGAUAACUGGUACAGAUUAUAUAAUAGCAUAUCUCGCUGAGCAAGCUUAGCAGGAUGAAUGAUAGAAACAAUGGGUCUCAUGAGCAUUCUCUUUGUUGCCUCACUUCUCUGGAUGUAGAAUAAAUUGUUGGAACCACCUUCAGAAAAGGCACCAAGGGAGGAUUUCCUACUGGUGCUUGUGGUGGUGAUGGCAGGCAGGUGUUUGAGGAGAUGCUAGUGAAUGGCUUUGAUCCUGGCACUUGUGGUGGUGAUGGCAGGCAGGUGUUUGAGGAGAUGCUAGUGAAUGGCUUUGAUCCUGGCACUUCAAUGUUGGGGCUUGGUUUAGGGUCUACCAUAAUGCUGGACGGUCACAGGUCUCUGUACAACAGGCUAGGGACUUUUUUUGACAGUACAACUUCCCUAAAACUGUAACUAAUUUCUUCACAGUUGUAUUUAGGAUCUUGUAUCCAAUGCCAGAAAUCUUGUCUUGUUCUCAAUUUGCUAAAGGAAUAGACAUGGUCCACACAACCUUUAGGCCUUUUGUUUGUUUGUUCUUUUUUCGCAUUUUGUCAAGAGGAUCUUUCUAUGACUCUAACUCAGCCACAUAGAGUUUGCCUCUGGAAUAGUUAGGAGUCUUUCUUUAAUCUUCCCUUGAGUGUCACCCUUGUCCUUUCAUUGCAUUUCAGACCAGCGCAUUUAGCAAUAGAAAAAGGCACCUUCAUUUUUGUUUGUAAGAUCCAGCAUGGUGGCGUGGACCUGUAGUCCCAGCUACUCGGGAGACUGAGGUGGAGAGGAUUGCUUGACCCCAAAGGGUAAAGGCUGUAGUAAGCCAUGAUCAUGCCACUGCACUCCAGAAUGGGCAACAGAGCUAGACCCUGUCUCAAAAAAAAAAUUAUUGCCAUAAUAUUUGUAACAUUCUUUCAUUACAU